CCCUUGUGCAAGGGGCACAAAACACAGGUUAGAGGUGUUUUUGUUUUAUGGAUCUCUUAGGCACAGUAAGUAAAUCUUAAAGCAUAACUUUAGCUCUUACACUCUCCCAUCCAUUGGCUGAAUAACUUUACCAGGCCUCUGAGGACUGAAGGGAUUUUAAGCAAAUGAAAGGCUUUACCCACCGUGUUCCCUGAGGUGAGGACUCUGAAGACUAAUGAUGCUAUCAGAGAGGCUUUGGCAAAAAUCCUUCAAUCUGAACCUAUUGGGUACAAGCGGCAAGAAUCCCUCAAGGGCUGGCCACUUGACUUUUCUGCUAUGAUGGAUUGUAUCCUGGAACUGAAAGUUAAAAUGGACUCUCUCACUGGUCUCUUGGUGAUUUGGGGGUUCAGAGUUUGGGAACAACAGUUAUAUUUUAUGCAUUGCCACAACCCUACGGUCAACCUUCACUUUACGGAUGAGAACAUGCUCCGGAAGCUCACAUGACACAGAUUUUAAGAACCGAGGGCCGUGGUCUGUACUGCCACUGGGGACCAUGAUGUUACCAGAAGUCCACGAUCCUUUCUGCCCGGCUGACUGUCAAGGGCAAGGAAGCUUUUGCAGUGGUAUACAUGACUGCAGACUCUGAUUGAGAAUGAGAGACACAGGAGGUUUCUGUGACAGCCUCUCCCCAACCUCCCCCCCCCCCAAAAAAAGGAAAAAGUCUAGACAGGAAGCCAUAGGAGAGAACUCUUAAAAAUUGUGAUGGGGAUGCUGAAAUGUAGCUCUUCACAGUUGAUGGCUUCUGGCAGGGGUGGGUGGGGAAGGACUCACUUUUCUUUAAGGGGCUGCCCCCCCAAGGGGGGGUGGAGUUUGACCAUGUUCCAGUGAGUAUAUGGACAGGGCAAAAUGAACUAGUUGGUUUGGGGAGUUUUUUUGUUUGUUUCUUCUUUUUUCUGGGAGGAGGUCACAAGGGUUUGGGGGAUAGACCUGGGAGGACUGGGAAGUGAGUAUGAUUGGGGUGCAUUAUGUAAAAUUUCCAAAUAAUAAAAACAUCAUGUUAAAAAAAACCCCACGCCUUUAAUCCCAGCACUUGGUAGGCAGAGGCAGGUGGAUAUCUGUGAGUUCGAGGCCAGCCUGGUCUACAGAGCGAGUGCCAGGAUAGGCUCCAAAGCUACAGAGAAACCUUGUCUCAAAAAACCAAAACCAAACAAACAAACAAACAAAAAAACCCAACAACCAAAACCCAGAACUAACACUUAUCCCAUGUCUGUGAGGUGACAGGUUCUAUGUGGAGUGUGACAGUCAUGCUGUCAUUGAAAGUGCCCAAGACACUGUGGGGUAGGUACUAUCUUAAUCUUGACCCUAUGCUUUCAACAAGUACUUGCCCAAGUGUGGAACUGCGGAAGCCAGAUGAUGAAUGCCGCACUUGGUCUUGGCUCUAACAGGAGGCAUAAAAGGGUGUUCUAUCUUUUCUCUUCUUGAUGAAUGAUCCUUGCCUUUCAUGGGUGCUGGGGGGUGGGGAGGAGCAGGAGUUCAGAGAGUAAGACAUGGGCUCACCUCAAGCCUCGACUUUGGUUCUGACACAUGAAACAUAGGGGCUACACUGACUCAGGUGGAAGGCAGGUUCCUUUGUGUGCCGGGUGUCUAUAAUUCUAUGCUUCCCCAGGCUUGGUAAGAAGUCAGUAAUUAUUAAUCAGAAUGAGCACUACGUUGCCAAGAUUUUAGCAAAUGGCAGAGCCAGGAUUUUAAUCCAAG
ensembl:lncRNA